rnacentral:rRNA from 1 species
UACGAGGGGGGCAAGCGUUGUUCGGAAUUAUUGGGCGUAAAGGGUGCGUAGGCGGUGCGGUAAGUCUGUUGUGAAAUCUCCGGGCUCAACUCGGAGUCUGCAUCAGAAACUGCCGUGCUGGAGUGUGGGAGAGGUGAGUGGAAUUCCCGGUGUAGCGGUGAAAUGCGCAGAUAUCGGGAGGAACACCGGUGGCGAAGGCGGUUCUCUGGGCCUGUACUGACGCUGAGGAGCGAAAGCGUGGGGAGCGAACAGG